rnacentral:rRNA from 1 species
ACCUUACCAGGUCUUGACAUCCUCUGAAAACCCUAGAGAUAGGGCUUCUCCUUCGGGAGCAGAGUGACAGGUGGUGCAUGGUUGUCGUCAGCUCGUGUCGUGAGAUGUUGGGUUAAGUCCCGCAACGAGCGCAACCCUUGAUCUUAGUUGCCAUCAUUAAGUUGGGCACUUUAAGGUGACUGCCGGUGACAAACCGGAGGAAGGUGGGGAUGACGUCAAAUCAUCAUGCCCCUUAUGACCUGGGCUACACACGUGCUACAAUGGACGGUACAAAGAGCUGCAAGACCGCGAGGUGGAGCUAAUCUCAUAAAACCGUUCUCAGUUCGGAUUGUAGGCUGCAACUCGCCUACAUGAAGCUGGAAUCGCUAGUAAUCGCGGAUCAGCAUGCCGCGGUGAAUACGUUCCCGGGCCUUGUACACACCGCCCGUCACACCACGAGAGUUUGUAACACCCGAAGUCGGUGGGGUAA